AGAAACUAUAAUGAUUUAUGACAAUCCUUGACAGUUACAUGAAUAUAAGAAGGAGAAAGAGACAAGGCAUCUUAAAUUUGA